GUCGAAACAGUUUGAUCUACCGAGCUGGGGGAACACUCGCAAUUGGAGAAAAACAGUCCGUUAGUAUAGUUAAGUUCGUUUAUAAAAAUAAGCGUUCUGGGAUGUUCAGAAAGUCAGUUUUGAUAUCUUUAACGCUGUAGGAAUGAUUGUACAAGUUCGUGCUUAGAAACUAGUGAUUUUCAUCUUGUUUUCAGGCGUUUAUUUGAUAAGGGAUUUCUCAUUUCCCACAUUCGCUUAAAAUUGUAUGAUUGAAACAUUGUAAAAAACAAAAACUUCAACAUUGAUGACAUGAAAAAAUAACCGGGAGCGAAAUCACAAAUGCGAAGUCUAAGUUCAGGUCUUUUGAAAGUGACCCCCUGGAGUACUAGUUCUUCCGGUCAUUUUGCAAAGUCAGAAACAAGAACUUCCCGAAGGAGAUAAAUGCGCUGUAUUUGAACACCAACGGUUUAUAGGACUUAAACGAGUACAUUAAUUAAUGAACUACAAAUAAAGAUAAGGAAAGCAUGGAUAAUAUUUCAAACUGAGAAACAAUACACCUUAACCAGAGAGUGAUUAAUACUGAUUAAUUUGUGAUUAACGUAAAAUAUUUGGAUAAUGCAACUCGAUAUUAGGAUUAGAAAACAUAACCCAGAGUGGAAAUACAACAGCAUAGAAGCAGAAGGUUAAUUUGCGAAGCACUCUGACUUGUCUAACAGCAGCAUUACAUAAAUGCGAGUUGGAAGAUUUGGUGAAAGGCGCGCAUUUCCUAAAUAAUAUGACAGCAGGUAAUAAAAUGUAGUUACAAAGACAAACAUCGAAGCACACGUCUUAGAAAAGUCACACCCGGGGUCACACCAAGGAACAAUAUGGACUUAAUACAUUUUAGCGUUACCUAUAAAUUGUAAAAUUAGGGUACCGCACUUCGAUUUUUACAAUGGACAAUGUAGACACUGACCUUUCACAUCUUGAAUUGAGUGAUUCUAUCGAUGAUGAUUUUGGUAUACAACAAGCAUAUGGAGGGAGACAACAUGGGCCGUUCUAUAUGCCAUACCUUGCCCGUGCAAGACAGAGAUCAAACACAUUCUCUACGCUUCCCUCUCCAAGGCCGGCCCCAAAGGCAAGGCGCGGGCUUGACCAACACUCCCCUCCACCCCAAAAGGCAUUUGCAUGUCGCCCCCAUAGGACCCAACUAUCACCUACAUUUGAAACGGACUAUAGCUUGGAAAUGCGUCCGAGAACACUCAGUAUGCCAAAUAAACAAAAUCGUCCAAACUUUCUGGAUAUAACUCAAAAUUAUGAUACUGCUGAAAAAGAUGUUGAAUCGAGUGAUGUAACAAAUCAAAAAGAGGAUGAUACUUCUGAAGACAUUGAUGAAGUAUAUAGAGUUAGAACAUUUACAACUACGUCAAAGGGAAACAUUCUCUCGAGUGGUGAUGCUUUUAGAAGAAGGAGCUCGAGCUCUGUAUCUGCUGAUAGUGGUCACAUGUCAGACGAUUUCCGUGGACGUUCAUCAAGUUCCGGUUCGAAUUCCCGCCAAGAUUCAUUAGCAGACGGCACCUUCAGACGUACUAAAUAUGCUCAAGGUCCAAUGCUGGAAGAAUUCAGACGACGGACUUCAAGCGGGGCUUCCUCAGGUUACAAACUGCCUUUCCGAAGGAGAACCUCAAGUUCUACUUCUCGUGGCUCUCACUCGAGUGGGUACCUCUCCGCAGACGACUUCCGGAACAGAACGAGCAGCAACGCCAGCAGUUGCUCCUCCGGUGCGGUGUUCUCAGAUGUCCCUUUAACCUCGUUCAAAGUGAUCGUUCUUGGUGCACCGGGCACCGGCAAAAGUGCACUUAUCAAUCAGUUUAUGACAUCUGAGUACAUGGAUGGAUUUAACUUCGACACAGAAUCUGGUUCUUCGCAGACUGUCAGUGUGCUGCUGGACGGCGCCGAGUCUUUGUUGGAGUUCCAGGAGAGCGAGGACGAUAGGUACUUUGACGCCUCCGAGGAAAAAGCAGACGCGUAUAUCGUCACGUUCUCUAUGACGGACCGUGAUUCGUACCAUCACGCUAUAGAUGUCCUCUACCACCUACGGGAGGAACACUAUACCCCCGCAGUAGUCAUCCUCGUGGGCAACAAGACUGAUAUCGUCCGACAAAGGCAGAUUCUGGUCGAAGAGGGGAAGUCCACGUCAAAGACCUACGACUGUACAUAUACCGAGAUAUCCGCUGCACUCAACCACAAAGUGGACGACCUCCUUGUCAGUACAUUGGCUCACAUUAGAAACAAAUUAAAGCCAAAGGAUGAAACAUCUAGGAAGAAAUCUGUCAAUAAAAUGGCUAAAGGGAUAAUCAGUAAAAUACAAUCGCAUCUUUUUGUUAAAAGCGAAGAGAAGGAACGUUCCGAUCGGUCCCCAAGACACGAUCGGUCCCCAAGACAUGAUCGAUCCCCAAGACAUGAUCGAUCGCCUCGUCAUGGUUCGUCACCUCGUCAAAGUUCGUCGUCCUCUCCACGUCAUGGAUCGUCAUCCUCUCACCAGGGGUCUCCACUGCAUUACAAAUCCUCUCCACGUCACGCUUCAUCCUCGUUCUGGGAGCGAUCAGACGACUCAACUCCUGUUUAUGACGAUACGCUACAAUGAUUAAAGUACAAUAACUACAAAGCAAUAGUGUGAAAACGUGCUUGUAACACUAAAGAUUGCUUCUAACACCCCAUAGUGAAGGGACAAUAAGAAGCGAUUUUCAAAUCAUUGUACAGUAAAAGCAUUUUAUGUGGAAAACCCUUGAAAAUGAAACCAUGGUCUUUCUAUGAUGAAACUAAGUCAUAUAACUUAAAUAUACCCAUUAAUUACAAAGUGGAACACUUUUGAGGUACAAGAGGCGUUCCACUUGGGCAGGUUUUAUUGGUAAUUCAUUUGUAAUGGGAGAUCAAAUACCAUGCCAUUCUCAGCUCUUUGUUCAAAGAUACUUCCCAAGCUACAUGUAUUCCAUAUACCGUACCUGCCAAAUAUUGCCAAAUAUAUAUUCUAAGUAUGAACAGUUCAAGUACAGGAUGUAUAGAUUUUGUUCUGAAAUGCAAAACAAUCAAAAUGUACUGAGAUUUACAAAACAAUUAGUAUUCUAAGUACAAUGUUUUACGUACCUGAGAGCAUUUUAUAUCAAACUACCUCGUUGCAAUGCAUUUAUAUCAAACUACCUCGUUACAAUGCAUUUACACCAAACUACCUCACUGCAAUACAUUUGUAACACAAUACUGUAUAGCCCCAUUGCCCCAUUGUAAACUAUUUCAUUGCUAUGUAUUUACAUCAAAUUGCUUUGUUGUAAUGCAUUAUAUACCUUAUUGCAACCCAUAUAGAUAAACCUACCUCAUUGCAAUACAUUUACAUCAACUCACCUCAUAGUAGUGAUUUUAAAUAUAAAAUCACCUUGUUACAAGGUACUUUGUGUCAACCUACCUUAUUGCAAUGUAUUUAUAUCAAACUACCUCAUUGCAUUGCAUUAGUAAUUACAUUCAUUGCAUUUUGUAAAUAUAUACCUUGCUGUAUCCCAUGUCACAUUUAAUAGAAUGAAGUUUUGUAUAAUAAAUGUGUAUAAUGCAAUUUAAGGGUGUACUAAAUAUAA
rnacentral:misc_RNA from 1 species